rnacentral:misc_RNA from 1 species
GCAAACUUGGUCAUUUAGAGGAAGUAAAAGUCGUAACAAGGUUUCCGUAGGUGAACCUGCGGAAGGAUCAUUGUUGGAUUUUUAGAUGGAAAAAAAAACAACGAGUCUUUUUUUUUUGACGCCCAAAAAGAAGGGGUCUCUUUUGAGAUCAAAACGAAAGAAACGUGGUUGCCUGAUAAAAAAAGUGUUUGGAGGAUUUGAACAAGGAAAACAACUUUCAACAACGGAUCUCUUGGCUCUCGCAUCGAUGAAGAACGCAGC